UUGCAGACUGAUUAGUGUGCUUUUUGAUGUGCCAUCCCCGCCACUCGUGCCUUGGUGGCCACAGGGUAUUAGUCCAGACAUGGAUGCGGUUUCAUGUGUUUGUGUUGGGGAGUGCAGUACGUUGAAUCCAACAUCGUUUCACAUACUGUAGGAGGACGCAAUAAGUUCAAUCUCGGCCCACCACGGUAAAUGAAAAAUUCCAUUUCAAGUGGCCUUUCGUGACAAACCAGUCCGGACGCUCAUACAGAAGAAAAAUAUAUACCUACCCAUGGAUGUAAUAGAUCAUGAUACCCAACAUAUUCAUCGCAAGGUAAGAAACUAAGUUGGGCUACAUUUUCGACGAAAAGCUGAAUCAGAAGUGGCAAUGGGAGAUAACAAAAACUGCACAUUUCUCCACACUGAAUGCAAAUCGUACUUCACUUUCACCACCCAGGAUCAAGGAAUCAGAUUGUUACUAUAUGUGUGUUUUAAUUUUAUUUCUGACAGAAAUGGACAUCAACGGCAGCACAAGUCGAACUGCUUUAGCGCGGGUUUUAACUACAGCUCUUGCGCGCGCUCUCUCUCUCUCUCCCUGUGUCCACGUGGUAGCAGUGCAAAUUUACCUCAGAAAGCAGUGUCAUAGAGGUUUGCGCCAGCCGCGUCCUCAUGCAGAUUCUAGACAUCCUCAACGCUUGCGAGGAAUUUGAGGUCUAAGGUGGUCUGUGGAGGAAGAAGUCCGACCCACAACGAGAGCCGUGUCGUGGUCCAAACCCCAUUGACCGUCCUAAUAAUGGAGGAUCUGCCAGGGUGCAAGCUGGAUGGAGCAGCGCUCGCCACCUGGGUUGCGGCUCCGUCGUCUCCACACAGCGGCGUUCAUCGCUAUCGAGGAAACUCUUUUCCUCCUACAGUGAUUUCCGCCUAUUGUUUCUGCUGUUAGCGGAAAAUGCAUCGCCUCAUGUCUCCGUGCCUUCCCCACGCUUCAUUCGUCGCUGCCGCAGCCCGAACGGUCACACACGACCUGCGUCUCCCCGCAUCGGAAGCUGCCUUUCCUCGGAACCUUAAAUCGGGGUUCGUCUUUUCCAAUUUCAAACAUACCAAUUCUAUUAUUGUGGAUUUGAAUGAAUCACGUUGACCUGGCCACGUUUCCAUCGUCGGAUCGCAUGCCAGCUUAGGGCGGCGAAAGGAGCCUCCUACAUUGUUGCGGAGCCGUUCGCAGGAAAGGGUUUCUUGCAACGGGUCCAACCUAAGCUUCAUUCAAAGUUUCGAAGGUCGUUGGGGGUGUGGACCAGGCUUGGGAUAUGGUGCGAAUGGUGAGCAGUGCAUGGAGAGCCUCAUCCGUGAUCCUGGGAUGAUGUUAGGGUCCGUGUAGCGGCAUCCAGCAGGGAGCGAUGCCGAUUUGUCAGACCACUGAUCCUUAGUUCCGGUUUGCAGCAGACGAAGUCUUGGUUCUCACAGUUGGUGAAGGACAAACACGUGUUGCAUAUGAAGACAUGACGGAGAGUCGUUUUCAUCCUGCACUGACUUCCGGAAACUUGCUCACAUUUCCAGGUCCUUGAAGCGGAGAACUUCGUCGUAACAGUUGCAGCGCUUCUGAUCAACCUGUGGCGAGAUUUUGCAAGAGAACUACUGAAACCACAUGAAACUUAACCAAGAACCCGUUCUACAGUGUUACGUAGGUUUUGUCACGGCAUUGCGCAAUGGGUCCCCAUCGGCGCAAGAUGCGCGUUGCUCCGUAGCAUAGAAUCAAGCAAUGAGCAGCUGAGGACCGUAGCCAACCUGUCGUUCAAAUCUGCACCAGAAGAAUCGAAGUAUGAGAUUUUGGGAGUGAAGACAGACGAGACCGAAUCCUGGGUGUAUCAGGUUCACAUACAAAACAUGGCUAUCAAAUUCAGCAUUUAAGGCAGCUACUUGCAAUCGGCAUGCUCCUUGAGAGGUUGUGGCACCACCAUGGUACAAUGUCGUCAGCUCAUCCUCGGAACAUUUCUUUCGAGUUCUCGAUUGCUGAAGUCGUGCACUGUAACAGGUUUAGGAAAUUCUGACAUGAAAUCUCUUUUUUAACUCA